UCCAUCAGUGGUAUCAGAGCCUAGGUUCGUUUUGACAUGAAUAUAUAUGCAUAUAGAUCUAAAAUUUAAUCUAUUUUAUAUAUGAUAUGUUAUAUUAGAUGUCUUAGUAGUCUAAUACUCAGAUUGAAUUAAUCAUCAUGACUAUCCAGUCAUAAGAGGAAGCAUGGAUUAAAGUCCUUCUCUUAUCCAAUCGAUGAAUUCUCUUAUGGCAUAUAGGAGUA
rnacentral:lncRNA from 1 species